rnacentral:rRNA from 1 species
AGCCGCGGUAAUUCCAGCUCCAAUAGCGUAUAUUAAAGUUGUUGCAGUUAAAAAGCUCGUAGUUGAAUUUCGGGAUUAGUACGUUGGUCGUGCCUUCGGUACGUACUGGUGUUACUGAUUCCUACCUUCUGACGAACCAUCAUGUCAUUAAUUUGGUGUGGUGGGGAAUCAGGACUGUUACUUUGAAAAAAUUAGAGUGUUUAAAGCAGGCUCGCGCUUGAAUACAUUAGCAUGGAAUAAUGAAAUAGGACGUUGACCCUAUUUUGUUGGUUUCUAGGAUUGACGUAAUGAUUAAUAGGGAUAGUUGGGGGCAUUAGUAUUCAAUUGUCAGAGGUGAAAUUCUUGGAUUUAUUGAAGACUAACUACUGCGAAAGCAUUUGCCAAGGAUGUUUUCAUUAAUCAAGAACGAAAGUUAGGGGAUCGAAGACGAUCAGAUACCGUCGUAGUCUUAACCAUAAACUAUGCCGACUAGGGAUCGGAUGAUGUUAUUUUUAAUGACUCAUUCGGCGCCUUACG